AAUGUGAUUGCUGGGUCAUUUAGUGGUUUCAUUCUAGUUUUUGAGAAUUAUCCAUCCUGCUUUCCAAAGUGGUUGCACUUAUUUGCAAACCCACAAACAAU
rnacentral:pre_miRNA from 1 species